UGACAUGUUGGCUACAGUUAGGAGUUAAAGUCUAUAGCAUAUCUAGUCAUAACUACUGCAUGUGUAUUUAAUGAGUUACUUGGUUUGGUUUCGUCUAUGACUUAUAUAGAUAAAACUAUUUGUAAAAACUUUACUUAUAAUCUUUACUUUUACUUAUAAAAAAAAAAAAAAGUGAGCAGAUGGUGCAAUCUCUCCUCUUUCGCUGGUGCCUCUUUUCCUCUUGAGAAGAGGAAGAAGGAGAGCAGAGGGUCUCCGCAAGUCGACCUCGCUCAAGUUGCCGGGCCCCUUUUCACCGAUGAGAAGAGGGAAGAGGGGAGCAGUGCCGACAAUGGAGUUCUCUCCUCCUUUCAUCGAUGAGAAGAGGGAAGAGGGGAGUAGUGCCGACAAUGGAGUUCUCUCCUCCCUUCACCGAUCGCCAACAGCCCAAUUCUUGAGUUUGUUUUCUGUUUCUCGCUUUGUUCCUACUGCAAGCUCUAUUCCUCUCAAUGAGAAGGGGAAGAAGGAGAAAACCCCUCCUCUGCUCCCACUGGUAGAGAGGCGAGAAGAGGAAGAAGAGGGAGGGUGAUGAGAGACCUCUCCUCCUCUGUUCGUGCUGGAUGCUGAUCUACCCCUGGAGUUUUCUUCUCCCUUCACCGAUCUCCAAUAGCCCAGUUUCCCCUCCUCCGUUCCCGCCAACAGAGAGGCGAGAAGAGGAAGAAGAGUAAGGGCAGUUUCCCCCUCCUUUGUUCCCGCUGGCAGAGAGGCGAGAAGAGGAAGGAGAGAACCUGCCCCUUCCUAUAUGUCGCCUAAAGAAGAACGGAAGGGAGAAGUCUCUUUUCCUCUGUUCGACGCAGAAGUUUUCUUGAAGUUUCUUCUGCUCCUCUGUUCGUGCUGGAUGCUGAUCUACCACUGGAGUCUUCUUCUCCCUUCACCGAUCUCCAACAACCCAGUUUACCCUCCUCUUUCCCGCCGGUAGAGAGGCGAGAGAAGAAGAAGAGGAAGGGCAGUUUUCCCCUUUUCUCCGCUUCUUUCCUCACCUCGCAGAAGCAUUCUUGAAGUUUCUUCUUUCCUCAGGAUGAUAAAACAUUUUAUAAAUGCAAGAAGAAUUUAUAUAUAUCCUUGAUGUUUGAUACAUGAAAGUAAUUGACUA
rnacentral:lncRNA from 1 species